AUAUUUAUCAAGAAAGAUAAAAUUUCUUAUUUUUAAUCACUUUUAAUAUCAACUGUUCCAAUAUACAACAGAUACUAAUUUUUAGGUAUAAAUUUUUUCUAAUAUUACUAAUUGAAUAAUACAGAAUUUAGUAUUAGUUAUUGAUCUGUCAAAUUAAGUAAGUUAUAUGUAGAUAAUUCAGCAGUCAUUGCAAACGUGAAAGCCGAUUAUCUUACCUAAUUCAUAGAUUACUUAUCAAUUCAUGUUGCUAUAGAUUAAUACAUUUUUUAUGUUCAUUAAUACAGUAUCCCCCCGCUAUUCGGGGGGUUACGUUCCUUCCCCUCCCGUGAAUCCUGAAAAUCUGCAAAUUAUUGAUGUAGUUUUAAAACGCCUUAUGUAUGAUACGCUAAAAUAUGCUUCCCAAACAUUAAUCAGCAGGAAGGAGAAACGAAAGCUCGUAACUGACAUUGUUAUUUUAAAAUUAUUUACCGGUUAUAGUGUACUGUAUCAUCGCUUUUUUUCUAAUUUUUUAUUUUAUAUUAACUGACAUUGUUACUGUAUUUUAAAAAUAUUUACCGGUUACAGUACUGUAAACUGUAUCAUCUCUCUUU
rnacentral:lncRNA from 1 species